GCAUCAUAGGCUGGAACAAAGCUGGAAAAAGCAAAGAUUUUGAUCUAUGUUUUAAAGGUGGGCUGCUAGGAUGACUGUCCUUGCUGUUCAAAUACAUUCAGUUUGUUCUGAUUCCUGGUCUUCUCAUCAGCUGAGAGAUCCAGGAGUAACAGCCGUCAGCAAGCCCCAGGCCACCCAGCAGAUCAAUAGAUAAGUUGAGAUAAGAAUAUUGUUCUUACCUCCUGGGGCUGCUGCCUCCUCUAUGGUGUCAGAAAAGCCCAUUAAGUGCAACCUGUUUAUCCCAGGACAAACAAAUUUAAUUUCUUCUUUAAGUCUUUCUAGUUCUCUGUCACCAAACAUUGAUUUAAAAAUGGACAUUUGUCUUCCUUGGGCAGAACACUUUGGGUGUUUGCAGUCCUCUGAACUUGCUUUUUAACACUGGAAAGCGAUAGGGUUAGCAAAUUGAAACCUGUGAUAAACUUUUUAAUAGGCAGAUAAUGCCACCAGAUUUACAUGCUGACAAUGGAGUUGAUGUUAACGGAAGACAGUAUGAACUAAGGGAACUUUGGAGUCCUUUAAUGCUAAAAGCCUGCAGCAGGUAGGUUUUUAAUUUACAAGCUCCACUUACCAUCUACUUGUCAUUGGGAGCCUGAGGCUUUUGAAUGGGUAAAAGUGGAUAAAGCAGUUAAAGAGGUGCUGAAGUAUUAUUAGGUGUGGAGUGCCCACAGCAAAUACUCUGCAGUUGCCACACUGAUUAGGCACAGAGGCAUAGGCUGACAGUCAUUGCCAGCUGGUGCCAAUGUGCUCUAGUGGGAGAUCCACACCUAUUUGAGCAUGUGUUCACAGGGAAUAGAGGCUGGCAGCCUUAAUAUUAGCUUCACGCCAAGAGAAACAAGCAGUGACCAGGAAGCCAUUCUGAAUAAGACUUAUGUGCUGAAUGCCUUCAGCUCCUGCAAUUUCUCUCUGCCAUCAUACAACACCUCAGAAAUAGCAGAGAUGCUUCUGAGUACUUCUGCCACCAAGCAUGCCACACUAUUCCAGGACAUGAGAAAAACAAGCAGAGCAAAAAUCCUCUGUCAAGAAGCAGGCUGAGCUGUGCUCCGAACAUCACGCCCAUGCUGUCAGGACACAGACCGCUCCAUGGAAAGCUGAAGAAGCUGCUUCCUCAGGAAGCUGUAGGAAGGGAUGGGGAGCCAACGGGAGCUUUGCCAUGAAAAGCUUUUUGAUGAAAGGUGCUACGUAACACUGCAUGUUGUGGUGAAGGGGACACGAUGGAGUCUUUCCAGCAGGAGAUGAUGCAUUUGUACCAAAUCUGUAUGCAUGCUGUUUUCUCUGUUGGAAUAUUGUUGUUGUCCUUUAUUACAUUAAAGGGGAACAUCUUUAUCUCAUGGUGAUUUGGGUGGGGUGUGACAUUGUCUAAUGUAAAAGGGGCCUGCAAUAUCAAGGAGACAACCGUGAAAUAACACAUUACACACUGAAUUGAACAGCAGGCUCAUUUACAUUCCUUUAAUUUGGAACUACGAACAUUCAAAAACCCUCUUCUCCACUCGCAUUCCCUUAUUUGGGAAACAUGUAAAUUACUUUUAUGAUAAUUUAGUAUUUAACUGGUACAAGCAUUGCAAAUUCCAGAAGCAAACGUUUCAAAAUAGACAGGAGCUGUGCCAGCUUCCUCUGCAAAUGCGUGUGGUAAAAGCCACCUCUGAGGAUGACUCUGAAAACAGCAUCUCUAGCUCCUGGACCUGCGCAUACACGCACUUGUAGAGCAGAUGGGACAGCUGGGGUGAGGCUUGUAGGGCUAGACCUUUUGUCCCUAUCAUGGUGUAGGCUUGUCAUGUGUGGCAGAUGGAUUUAAUUAAUAAAAUGAGUGUAUCG